ACAUACGACCAUAGACUCAAGAGAAUUGGGCAUCCCGUCCGGAGAAUUGGGCAUCUCCGCUCUGCCAUACACAAGCUUGAGAUCGGUGGAUUAGUAGUUGGGUGGGUGACCACCAGCGAAUACCCACUGUUGUAUGUU
rnacentral:rRNA from 1 species